rnacentral:rRNA from 1 species
GGUUUUGUUUUUGGUUGCCGAUGCGCGUGCUUAACAUGCAAGUCGAACGGAAGGCCCCCACCUUGUGUGGGGGUGCUCGAGUGGCGAAGGGAGAGAAACACGUGGGUGAUCUGCCCUGCACUUCGGGAUAAGCCAGGGAAACUGGGUCUAAUACCGGAUAGGACCAUGGUUUAGUAUCUCAUGGUGGAAAGAUUAUUUUUUUGGUGUAGGAUGAGCCCGCGGCCUAUCAGCUUGUUGGUGGGGUAAUGGCCUACCAAGGCGUCGACGGGUAGCCGGCCUGAGAGGGUGGACGGCCACAUUGGGACUGAGAUACGGCCCAGACUCCUACGGGAGGCAGCAGUGGGGAAUAUUGCACAAUGGGCGCAAGCCUGAUGCAGCGACGCCGCGUGGGGGAUGACGGCCUUCGGGUUGUAAACUCCUUUCGUUAGGGACGAAGCCGCACUUUUUUUGGGUGUGGUGACGGUACCUUUGUUAAGAAGCACCGGCUAACUACGUGCCAGCAGCCGCGGUAAUACGUAGGGUGCGAGCGUUGUCCGGAAUUACUGGGCGUAAAGAGCUCGUAGGUGGUUUGUUGCGUCGUCUGUGAAAUUCCGGGGCCUAACUUCGGGGUGGCAGGCGAUACGGGCAUAACUAGAGUGCUGUAGGGGAGGCUGGAAUUCCUGGUGUAGCGGUGGAAUGCGCAGAUAUCAGGAGGAACACCGAUGGCGAAGGCAGGUCUCUGGGCAGUAACUGACGCUGAGGAGCGAAAGCAUGGGGAGCGAACAGGAUUAGAUACCCUGG